rnacentral:misc_RNA from 1 species
AAAUAAUAAUAAUAAUAAUAAUUAGCCAUUCAGUCUUUCUCGGAUGGAAUUUUCAUUAUUUGACUCUUCUGAAGGCUUUAAAAACCAACGAUUAAGACGUUCCGAUGCUUUUUUCACCUGUUCAUCCCAAUUAGUUCUUGAUGUAACGUAGCCAAGAACCAUGACUUGCAUUACAACUCCAAUUGUCAUUCCAAUCCAUAUGCCCUUGAUUUGCAGAUGAGCCACAUAUCCAAGAAUAACCCCAAUUGGAACUCCACCAAUGUAAUAGCUGCUGACGUUAAUGCAUGCAACCAUACUCUGUCGACCAGCACCUACAGCCACUCCUGUAAGUACUGCCUGGAAGCUGUUAAGUAGAACUGAGAAGGCAAGUAGGAGAGAGAGAUUGGACACAGCUUUAAUGACCAUUUGUUCAUUGGUGAACAAUUUAGCAAUUUGGCUGUCAAAAGCUAAACAUAUUAUGAAAAAAAAGGCUCCAAGGCACAGUGAAAUGAAGAGAAUGACUUUAACAGAAAAUUUUGCAGCUUUAGCAUCUCCUCUUCCCAGUUAAUUUGAAACUUGCACGCUAGACAGGAGGUAAGGAAUCCAUCAUUAGCUUACAGCUUUAUUUGUUAUGGGUAAGUAGAUUCAGGAAAUAAAGACUUCCCAAGAAGUGUACAAGUAUAAUGAAAGUUGUACCUGGCGGAAGUUAGGAAGGCAAUACAUAGCAUAAAUUCCCAAGCCGUGAUAUUCAGGCAAAUGGACAGGGCAGAUACUUGAGUUGUCGCAUUUUUCAUGUACCCUGCCAAGAGUACUAAGACAGCAUUGUACCAAAACUCUAAGCAAAGCAUCAAACCUGAGGAAAUUGAGAGCUUUAUUACAGGAAUUAAAUCAGUGAAGGCAGCUAAAGUGAAUCCCCUCCAUGUAUCAGGACACCAGCCACCAACGACAUAAACUAGCUCUCCAAUUAUUACCAACCAACUUGAAAUAUUCAUAGCAAUCAUAGCUCCAGGAAUUCCCCAGUUCAGCUUGCUCACAAAAAUCCAUGAUAAGAGCACAUGAAGUGCAAAUGAGGCAGCAGAAAGCCACCCAACAAUCAUGUUCUUGAGCUGAGUUUGCAAGUACUUUUGGAGUGAAAAAGCUAAGGAAAAGAAGUAGAGCAUAGGAAUAAACCACAAAGAAAUGUAUCCAGCAGCACUGGCAAUUUCUUCUUCCUCGCCCAGUAGCCUGAAGAUUUUCCCUGAGAAUAUGAAGACAGGAAGCAAUAUUGUCGCGGUAAGAAGGUUGAUGAUCCAUGAUCUUUGCAAGUAGACGCCCAUCAUGUGGUAUUGUCUUGCUCCAAAUGCCUGCCCACAUAGAGUCUCUGUGGCACUUGACAUGCCUAGCAAUAUCCCAUUUGCAAAUCUAACAGCAAUGAUUUGGAUGAGUGCAUAACCUGCAAGUUGUAGCUUUCCAGCAUGUCCAAUAAAUGACUGUGUUACCACAAACAUUCCAUAUUGUGUUACUCUUGCUAACGUAGCAGGAAAUCCAACCUUCCAUAUCUUCUUGUUUUCUAUCCAAAUUCUCCCUUUCAAAUCACUAGUAUCUUUUGCUUCUGAUCCAAGAAGCCUCUCUUCCAUUCUCUAUUGUUCCUGUAGUUGGCCUUUGGAGUGAUCCAGCUUUUCUUCAGGGAGUAUGCUAUUAACUUUAGAGAGCCGAAAGUCUCCCAGCUAGCUAGCACUGUUGAUUGAUGAACUCUGUGUGUGUAUCAGAGAGAGAGAGAGAGAGUGAAGGGUCUUAAUAGUGUGUGAAGGGUUUUAAUAUCCCACACCACAUUGUUU